rnacentral:rRNA from 1 species
AGCUGACCAGAUUUUCAAACCCGGUAAGAAUAUAAAUUAUAGAGAAAACCUCUUGUAUUAGGAGUAAUUAACAAGCUUAAAAUCUCUCUCCCGAAAAGAAAAGAAAAUUACCCUAAUAGAAAGAUAUGACAAUUGAAGAAUUAAGGUACAGAGGAAAUAUUCCACACUUAAAUUUCUUUUUAGCUGGAAAAAUAGAACUAGAAGGAGAUCUUUUACCUGGCUUUUAUUUACUGAGGAGUUAAUAUGAAUAAAAAAGUUUUAUAACAAUAAUUAAAUUAGAUAAAUUGAUAGCAAGAAUAUUUUUAUCCCACUUUAAUAAUGAUUGCAUGAGUAAAUUGUAGAAAAAAAAAUUAAAAUUUUAGUUGGAUUAGAAAUCAGAUAGAGGUGAAAAAACUCGUCCUUUAACUUUGGAGCUGUUUAUCAAAAACAUAGCCUUUGUUGUCAAAGGUAUUUUCUGCUCUCUGACCUUGUUUAAAAGCCGUUUAACGCUAAGGUAGCGUAAUCAAAAGCUUGUUAAUUGUAAGCCCGUAUGAAAGAAAAUUUCCAAGGUAAAUAUCUUUACCUCUUGGAGAAAUUAAAAAGAAUUAAAAAAAUUCUUGUGCUCGUAAGACGAGAAGACCCUAUAAGCUUUCUUGUUUAAAAAGUUACUUGGGGAAAGUAAAUUAAAUCUUUCUAAUUAAUUAAAAAUUUAAUAACUACCGAAAUAAGCUACUUUAGGGAUAACAGAGCAAUUCUUGUAAAGAGUACCUAUUCUCACAAGAGUUUGCGACCUCGAUGUUGGAUUCUUUGGUCUAAGGGCCGCAGAAGACUCUAAAGAUAUACUGUUCGUAUUUUCAAAAAAGACUUGAUCUGAGUUCAGAUCGGCGAGAGCCAGAUCGGAUUUUAUCUUCGAGAAAAUAAAAUAGAGUUAGUACGAAAGGAAGGCUAAUAUUUUUUGUUUUAGACCAAAAGACUAAACUAUUGUGUUAUCCCCCCCUCCAUGAUUACUAAGGAUUCUACUAUUAU